rnacentral:rRNA from 1 species
UAAGGAAUAUUGGACAAUGGACGAAAGUCUGAUCCAGCCAUGCCGCGUGCAGGAUGAAAGCCCUAUGGGUUGUAAACUGCUUUUAUACAGGAAGAAACACUCGUACGUGUACGAGCUUGACGGUACUGUAAGAAUAAGGACCGGCUAACUCCGUGCCAGCAGCCGCGGUAAUACGGAGGGUCCGAGCGUUAUCCGGAAUCAUUGGGUUUAAAGGGUCCGCAGGCGGUCUUUUAAGUCAGAGGUGAAAGCCUACAGCUCAACUGUAGAACGGCCUUUGAUACUGAAAGACUUGAGUUAUUAUGAAGUGGUUAGAAUGUGUGGUGUAGCGGUGAAAUGCAUAGAUAUCACACAGAAUACCGAUUGCGAAGGCAGAUCACUAACAAUAUACUGACGCUSAUGGACGAAAGCGUGGGGAGCGAACAGGAUUAGAUACCCUGGUAGUCCACGCCGUAAACGAUGGAUACUAGCUGUUCGUCUAACAUUGGUUGGAUGAGUGGCUAAGCGAAAGUGAUAAGUAUACCCACCUGGGGAGUACGGUCGCAAGACUG